ACAUGCCUACAACAUAGCAUUAAUGCAAUGGAUCUCAUUAGAACUUUGCAGUUAAGCAUGCUCAGGCUAGAGUAGUACUAGGAUGGGUGACCACCCAUGAAGUCCUAGUGUUUUACAUGCC
rnacentral:rRNA from 1 species